rnacentral:tRNA from 1 species
AGCGGGGUGGGGAAGCCAGGUUAUCCCGGCGGGCUCAUAACCCGCAGAUCGGUCGUUCAAAUCGACCCCCCGCUACCA